GAUCCUGGCUCGGGAUGAACGCUAGCUACAGGCUUAACACAUGCAAGUCGAGGGGCAGCAUGGUCUUAGCUUGCUAAGGCUGAUGGCGACCGGCGCACGGGUGAGUAACACGUAUCCAACCUGCCGUCUACUCUUGGCCAGCCUUCUGAAAGGAAGAUUAAUCCAGGAUGGGACCAUGAGUUCACAUGUCCGCAUGAUUAAAGGUAUUUUCCGGUAGACGAUGGGGAUGCGUU
rnacentral:rRNA from 1 species